rnacentral:rRNA from 1 species
AGUGAACGCUGGCGGUAUGCCUAACACAUGCAAGUCGAACGGCAGCACAGUAAGAGCUUGCUCUUACGGGUGGCGAGUGGCGGACGGGUGAGGAAUACAUCGGAAUCUACUUUUUCGUGGGGGAUAACGUAGGGAAACUUACGCUAAUACCGCAUACGACCUACGGGUGAAAGCAGGGGAUCUUCGGACCUUGCGCGAUUGAAUGAGCCGAUGUCGGAUUAGCUAGUUGGCGGGGUAAAGGCCCACCAAGGCGACGAUCCGUAGCUGGUCUGAGAGGAUGAUCAGCCACACUGGAACUGAGACACGGUCCAGACUCCUACGGGAGGCAGCAGUGGGGAAUAUUGGACAAUGGGCGCAAGCCUGAUCCAGCCAUACCGCGUGGGUGAAGAAGGCCUUCGGGUUGUAAAGCCCUUUUGUUGGGAAAGAAAAGCGGCAGGUUAAUACCCCGCUGUUCUGACGGUACCCAAAGAAUAAGCACCGGCUAACUUCGUG